rnacentral:sRNA from 1 species
CUGCGUGGAUGGAGCACUACCGGACCCGAGCCUCCUGACCCGAUACUGUGCUCCAUCAGCACCAAGUGGUUAACUGCGAUGCCGCAGGGCUUGGGGCCGUUCCUCCCGCGGCGGGGCAGCCUUUCGCCGGCGCGCAGUCUAGGACAGACCUCUAUGAAGACCUCUAAGAAGAAGAGAG